GCUGAUGAAUUACUAAUAGUUGGGCAUAUGUAUUUUCCAAGAAUUUUGCAAAAAUGUGCAAAACUUUAUAUGCUCCUUAUCAAGGAGAACAUUAAAUAUGGGAAAUAAUAAGGGUUAGAAUACGUUUUGGGGGAAAAAAAAGAUGGUUUCUUUUGGAUUCUCUGGAUGCAAAUGUCCUACAUGUGAAGCAUAUUCUUCCUUGUCCAUUUUUCCAUUAUGUUUGUUUUUCCAUUUGUGCUCUCUAUCUGUAAAACCAAUACCAUUUUUUAUUGAAGAAUAACUUGGUUGUGUUUAUGCAGUAGUAUACAGUCAGAUUAAUUCCACUGUCCUCAGUGUUUAUUGCAACAAGAUCAUCAGACACGGUAACAAUUCAGUAACUACAGAAAAUAUUUCCAUUCCAGUUCCUGAUAAAAAUGGCCUGAAGCCCUAUGUGCUAAUCUGUAAGGUGGCAGUGUUUCCUCUGAAAUCUGCCAACAUGUCCUGACUGUGAGAAUAACUUUUGUUCCCCUUCAUCUAACUAGUGGAUUCCAGAUGAAAUGGAGGAAUUUGUAAUAUCUGCAUGCCUCUCUCUGUCUGUCUAAUGACAUUGUAACCUUCGGGUUUUGGGUUGCUGCCUGCCCCUCCAUCAUCAGAAGUGCCCACCAUAAGGAUGUAACACUUGCUUUAAAACAUGUGUGAGAUAUGGAUUGGUUUGUAACAAAUAUAAAAGUCUUGGAUACACGAUGUAGUAACACAUGUUCCCAUUUCUCACUUAGAGAUACAUGAAGGCUGUUUUUAAACACUUGCAGCCAUAAUAACUACCUCUCUUCCCUUUCCCAUAGUACCAGUCAGCUGCAAAUGUAGUGCCCAGAGUUUUGUAUCUCCACCAAGCUCUCAGUCACUGCUGGUGUUCAUUUCAGCACCCACCUGCUGCCAAUAACUUGUCUGUCUUGGCACUUGUCUGCCACCAUAAUGUCUUCCUGAUCUGGAUGCUGAGGUAAACUUUAGCUUCCCUGCCAAAGGGAAGCUAUCCUGAUUUCCUUUCAUCUUGCGUGGUGUUCAAAAGGAGACUACAUACAAUUACUUUGUAUUCCCUCGCUCCCAACCUAGGGAUAACGUUAAGUAGCAGUUAUGUGGCUACAGUGAAGAAACACCCCCAGGAAAUGCUUGUGUGCCAUGAUGAAGAGUGAAAGAUCCAUCACAAAAAUUAAAUUAAUCACUCUUCACCUUUCAGUCAGGCCAGGCACCAGACUCAUGGAUUCUAGAUGUUUUAUAGCCCAUUGGCUGCUAUGUGUGACCCUUCUGUUUGAUAGAUCCCUGUCUAUAAUCCAAAAUCAACAAAAAAGUAGUGGUUUAAUGAGAAUCUUUCUUGCUCUGAUAAACACUGGAAGCAGCCUUAAAAGCAGUUUUCAAAAUAAAUUUCUUUUUCUGUUUUGACCCCCUUUUAUAGUAAAUAUCUCAGUGAUUCACUCCGUCAGCAAAGUAAGGCAUCAGUUUUGUCGAUAGAUAAGACUUUGGCUUUAGCAUAAUAGAAAGUCACAUGCGAAUAUCAAGAUAAGAGUUAAUGUCCCGAUUUAAUAGAAAUUUGGAGUUAGAGUCUUGAUGUGAGUGAACAGCAAGGGCCUCCUGCAAGAUCAUGCAUGACAGCACCUUAAGUCCCUGGUGUGCUGUGCUCUAAGUGUAGCCUGGCCAACACUAGGACUUCAACAUGUACUGCAACCCCAAGGGUCACAAUGUCACUGUAGGUGCAGUGAAUGAUUCCUUUUGUCAGGCACUCGGCCUGCAGCAGCCUCCCUGGUGAUGUAACAACAGCAAGUAGCAGUCCAAAAUGCUUUAGAAGCCAUUUGGUCGAUGGCAGGAGUCUAGAUUCAGGUACACUGUGCAUUGUGGUUAUUGCAAUGCUUUGAUUUCACUGAGAUGAAUGUGGCAGCCCACCAGUUUCACAUCCUUCCUCCUUCCACCUCAACUCGUAGGCAGGCGUACACACUGCCUGCCUCCAUAUAAAUGAUGCACAGAGAUAUGGUGUUAGACAGAAGCAGGAGCAUAUUUGUCUCUCUUUUUCACUCCUGUACAAUCACUACACAUUCCAGUCCUCUAAUGAGGAUUUGGGGUGGGCUGUGACACAUUCGGAUGGUGGCUCUGUACUUCCAGCAUCAGGAUGCACGUAACACUUGUCUAAGCUGUAAGGGCUAUGUUUCUCUGCAGGAAAAACUGCUAGGUAUUUACAGGCUCUGAAAGAAAACAAUCUGAAGCGUUAUUGAAAAUGUUUGAUUAUAGGCAAUGGUUGGAAGAUCACUCGCAAACACUUGAACAACAUACAAGGCCCACCUUCCUUCUUCAACUGGGGCAGAAACUGCCUCAUUUCAGAUGUGAUCCCAAGAAGUUUUUAACAAGCAGUUUAAUAGUUACAUAGCAAAGUAAUGCAAGGAGUUGCAGAGAUUGUAUAGUUUUAUGUUUAUGCAAAAAAAAAAAAUUAUAAUUAUUUCUAAUUAGUCCAUUUCACACUGAGUGGCAGAUAGAGAUAUAUUUUGUUUAAUCAUUAUCUAAUACAGAGGCUUCUGUGAAAGAAAAGGUGUAUUUGUAGCAUUGGGUGCAUUUCUCCUUUUUAAAGACUGUCUUUGCGCGUAUAGUGUCCUUUUUUUUGUGAGCUGGGAAUUGUAAAAAAAUGUAAAGUAGAAAAGGACAUCGGAAAAGCACACG